UAAUACAAAUGUAGCGAAAGGAAAAUGUGUUGAGAACGUGACAGAUUCAACGUUGCCCUGCAAAUGUGAACCGCAGUGUCAAGAGACAAACUAUGAGAAGACUUAUUCUUCCACGAAAUUAGCUGAAUCAGAGAAAGAUGACAUACACGCAAUGCUUCAUGAAAAUAGGCCCGAAAAAGGAAAACUUUCAA